rnacentral:rRNA from 1 species
AGUGAACGCUGGCGGUAGGCCUAACACAUGCAAGUCGAACGGCAGCACAGUAAGAGCUUGCUCUUACGGGUGGCGAGUGGCGGACGGGUGAGGAAUACAUCGGAAUCUACUUUUUCGUGGGGGAUAACGUAGGGAAACUUACGCUAAUACCGCAUACGACCUACGGGUGAAAGCAGGGGAUCUUCGGACCUUGCGCGAUUGAAUGAGCCGAUGUCGGAUUAGUUAGUUGGCGGGGUAAAGGCCCACCAAGGCGACGAUCCGUAGCUGGUCUGAGAGGAUGAUCAGCCACACUGGAACUGAGACACGGUCCAGACUCCUACGGGAGGCAGCAGUGGGGAAUAUUGGACAAUGGGCGCAAGCCUGAUCCAGCCAUACCGUGUGGGUGAAGAAGGCCUUCGGGUUGUAAAGCCCUUUUGUUGGGAAAGAAAAGCAGCAGGUUAAUACCCCGCUGUUCUGACGGUACCCAAAGAAUAAGCACCGGCUAACUUCGUG